UUUGUGCCUUAGACAUACGGAAGAGGAUGGACAAAUAUAGGAGAUUAUGUUCUCAAAAGGACUCAACUGAAGCUUCUCAAAUUACAGUGGAUUCCCUCUAUGAAUGCUUUGAUGAUUCAUUGUGAUAGAGAGGCAAGUUAAAGAUGUCAUGAAUUUCCUGAAGAAUCAAGGUUGACAUGAUGUCAUAAAGUUCAGCAAAACUUUCCUAUGUUAAGACAUUUGUUCGCUUUUAGCUAAUUGAACCCAGGCAUAAAAUUCCUUCCACAAACUUUUUGUCAUGCGGGAAAACAGUGACAAACCAGGAAAUAUCUUUUGUAUCUGUACGUCUGAAGGUCAUAAUACCACUUUCGUACGUCAAUUUCGGUUAAUGUUUAAGCUCUUCUUUAAUUU